rnacentral:tRNA from 1 species
GGCGCGGUAGCCAAGUUGGUAAGGCUGGUCCGUGAAACGAUUGAUCGCCGGUUCGAACCCGGCUCGCGCCUCCA